AGAGUUUGAUCCUGGCUCAGGAUGAACGCUAGCUACAGGCUUAACACAUGCAAGUCGAGGGGCAGCAUGGUCUUAGCUUGCUAAGGCCGAUGGCGACCGGCGCACGGGUGAGUAACACGUAUCCAACCUGCCGUCUACUCUUGGACAGCCUUCUGAAAGGAAGAUUAAUACAAGAUGGCAUCAUGAGUCCGCAUGUUCACAUGAUUAAAGGUAUUCCGGUAGACGAUGGGGAUGCGUUCCAUUAGAUAGUAGGCGGGGUAACGGCCCACCUAGUCUUCGAUGGAUAGGGGUUCUGAGAGGAAGGUCCCCCACAUUGGAACUGAGACACGGUCCAAACUCCUACGGGAGGCAGCAGUGAGGAAUAUUGGUCAAUGGGCGAGAGCCUGAACCAGCCAAGUAGCGUGAAGGAUGACUGCCCUAUGGGUUGUAAACUUCUUUUAUAAAGGAAUAAAGUCGGGUAUGGAUACCCGUUUGCAUGUACUUUAUGAAUAAGGAUCGGCUAACUCCGUGCCAGCAGCCGCGGUAAUACGGAGGAUCCGAGCGUUAUCCGGAUUUAUUGGGUUUAAAGGGAGCGUAGAUGGAUGUUUAAGUCAGUUGUGAAAGUUUGCGGCUCAACCGUAAAAUUGCAGUUGAUACUGGAUAUCUUGAGUGCAGUUGAGGCAGGCGGAAUUCGUGGUGUAGCGGUGAAAUGCUUAGAUAUCACGAAGAACUCCGAUUGCGAAGGCAGCCUGCUAAGCUGCAACUGACAUUGAGGCUCGAAAGUGUGGGUAUCAAACAGGAUUAGAUACCCUGGUAGUCCACACGGUAAACGAUGAAUACUCGCUGUUUGCGAUAUACGGCAAGCGGCCAAGCGAAAGCGUUAAGUAUUCCACCUGGGGAGUACGCCGGCAACGGUGAAACUCAAAGGAAUUGACGGGGGCCCGCACAAGCGGAGGAACAUGUGGUUUAAUUCGAUGAUACGCGAGGAACCUUACCCGGGCUUAAAUUGCAAAUGAAUUACGGUGAAAGCCGUAAGCCGCAAGGAUCUUGUAAAGUGCUGCAUGGUUGUCGCCACCUCUUGCCCUGAGGUGGCGGCUUUAAUCCCAAACAAGGCCAACCCUUUUGUGCAUUUACAACAAAGUUCUUCUAAGGACUCUACAAGAUUGCCCUCUAAAAAUUGAGGAAAGUGGGUUAGACUCAAAAAACACAGGCCUUAAUUCCGGGGGUAACCACUUGUAUAAAUGGGGGGGGCAAGGGGCCGUUCCCCCCGGGGGGGCCAAUCCCAAAAACCUCUCUCAGUUCGGACUGGAGUCUGCAACCCGACUCCACGAAGCUGGAUUCGCUAGUAAUCGCGCAUCAGCCACGGCGCGGUGAAUACGUUCCCGGGCCUUGCACACACCGCCCGUC
rnacentral:rRNA from 1 species